UCAUAUUCCGGCAGUCUACCGCCUACAUUCCGAUCAUCAUCGUGUAAUUCUAAUAUAAAUGAUCACCAGAUUCGAGGGCCGGGAGCCUUCUUGAAACAGAAAACCUUACAAGAAAGACACAGGAAGGACAGUCGAAAACCCUAUUACUUAUACACUACGAUGACAGUUGCCCCGAUCGAACAGCGAUCGCUUCCACUGACCACACAACGCUUCAACAAAGACGUGUCUCUUGGGGAUUUUUUUUCCAAUUUUGAUGAUUUCUUUGAGUAACUGAUCGAUUUGACAACGACUACUAGACGCGAGAACUCAUACUAUUAGACAUACUCAUUCUACGGUUAUUAAUUAGAAGAAUAUAGAUACCUUCAUGGAUCUAGUAGUUAAUAACUAGAUUGCACUCACGUCAUUCAUUUUAUACUAUUAAAUCUAUUAUUUUAUUAUAGACGGUUG
rnacentral:lncRNA from 1 species